rnacentral:lncRNA from 14 species
CAGGCUUCAUCAAGGUCAAGUCCCAGGAGCAGUACUUAGGGAAACUCAGGUUGGAGCCUUCUCAAAGGAUGCACCACACAACAAGUCUGACAGCAGCACAGUCCUGCAAGCCCGAAGUGAGCAGCUGAAUACAGGAAAGCUCACUGAUUCCUUCCCAGCUUCAGCAGCAGAAAUGAGUUGUCAGGGAGCUCCACCUCAUGCAGGCUCUAAGAGCUGCUUCUGCAGCCGUGACGGAGGUCUCACUACUACGACCAGAGCUGCAAGCAGAACAAGAUCCUCAGGCAAGUGGUCUGUUUCCUGACAUGACACUUCAUCUUGCAGCGCUCAGUAGCACUGUGGCUUCCUGCCCAAGCUGAGCCUUGCUGUUUCCUCCAUCUGUUUUAAUUUAAAGAGGGAGGGGAAGAAAAGCCAGCCUGGUUUGUCCUUUGUUCAAGGGCUGCUCAUAGCACGGUGCUGUCGUGGACAGGACUUGGGCAGAGCAGAGCUGAGCACUGUGGCACUGCACAGCCUUUCUGAAAGGAGUUUGCAGCCACUUGAGAGCACUUGUCCCUGAUGAUUUUUCUGCAGCUUCAGCAGAGCAUUUUCGCACCAAGCUUGUGUUUGGGGUUGGUUCUGUGGUUGCUGGAGCUAAGGAUAAUGUUCUGGGACUGCAGCUCCUGCUCUUGGCAUCUGAGGCUUUGCUAUGGAAUAAAAAUGACCAAGUAAAUGUGUGGAAGGAAGGA